rnacentral:rRNA from 1 species
GGAGCUGUAUGUCUAGUAUAAGCAACUAUACGGUGAAACUGCGAAUGGCUCAUUAAAUCAGUUAUCGUUUAUUUGAUAGUACUUUACUACAUGGAUAACCGUGGUAAUUCUAGAGCUAAUACAUGCUAAAAACCCCGACUUCGGGAGGGGUGUAUUUAUUAGAUAAAAAACCAAUGCCCUUCGGGGCUCUAUGGUGAAUCAUAAUAACUUAACGAAUCGCAUGGCCUUGCGCCGGCGAUGGUUCAUUCAAAUUUCUGCCCUAUCAACUUUCGAUGGUAGGAUAGUGGCCUACCAUGGUAUCAACGGGUAACGGGGAAUUAGGGUUCUAUUCCGGAGAGGGAGCCUGAGAAACGGCUACCACAUCCAAGGAAGGCAGCAGGCGCGCAAAUUACCCAAUCCCGACACGGGGAGGUAGUGACAAUAAAUACUGAUACAGGGCUCUUUUGGGUCUUGUAAUUGGAAUGAGUACAAUUUAAAUACCUUAACGAGGAACAAUUGGAGGGCAAGUCUGGUGCCAGCAGCCGCGGUAAUUCCAGCUCCAAUAGCGUAUAUUAAAGUUGUUGCAGUUAAAAAGCUCGUAGUUGAACCUUGGGCCUGGCUGGCCGGUCCGCCUCACCGCGUGUACUGGUCCGGCCGGGCCUUUCCUUCUGGGGAACCGCAUGCCCUUCACUGGGCGUGUGUGGGAACCAGGACUUUUACUUUGAAAAAAUUAGAGUGUUCAAAGCAGGCCUUUGCUCGAAUACAUUAGCAUGGAAUAAUAGAAUAGGACGUGUGGUUCUAUUUUGUUGGUUUCUAGGACCGCCGUAAUGAUUAAUAGGGAUAGUCGGGGGCAUCUGUAUUCAAUUGUCAGAGGUGAAAUUCUUGGAUUUAUUGAAGACAAACUACUGCGAAAGCAUUUGCCAAGGAUGUUUUCAUUAAUCAGUGAACGAAAGUUAGGGGAUCGAAGACGAUCAGAUACCGUCGUAGUCUUAACCAUAAACUAUGCCGACUAGGGAUCGGGGGGUGUAUCAUUUUGACUCUCGGCACCUUACGAGAAAUCAAAGUCUUGGGUUCUGGGGGGAGUAUGGUCGCAGGCUGAACUAGAGUGUGUGUGUAGAGAGAGGA